rnacentral:rRNA from 1 species
AUUAGAGUUUGAUCAUGGCUCAGAACGAACGCUGGCGGCAGGCUUAAUACAUGCAAGCCGAGGGGGCAGCAAUGUCACCGGCGAACGGGUGCGUAACGCGUAUGCAACCUGGCCAUAUCAGGGGGAUAGCCCUAGGAAACUGGGAUUAAUACCGCAUAAUAUAAAACCCGGCAUCGGGUAUUAUUGAAAGAUUUAUCGGAUAUGGAUGGGCAUGCGUAGGAUUAGUUAGUUGGUGGGGUAAAGGCCUACCAAGGCGACGAUCCAUAGCUGGUCUGAGAGGAUGAUCAGCCACAUUGGGACUGAGACACGGUCCAAACUCCUACGGGAGGCAGCAGUGGGGAAUAUUGGACAAUGGGCGCAAGCCUGAUCCAGCCAUGCCGCGUGAGUGAUGAAGGCCCUAGGGUUGUAAAGCUCUUUCACCGGUGAAGAUAAUGACGGUAACCGGAGAAGAAGCCCCGGCUAACUUCGUGCCAGCAGCCGCGGUAAUAAU